GACGAACGCUGGCGGCGUGCUUAACACAUGCAAGUCGAACGGAAAGGCCCUGCUUGCCGGGUGCUCGAGUGGCGAACGGGUGAGUAACACGUGGGUGAUCUGCCCCUUACUUUGGGAUAAGCCUGGGAAACUGGGUCUAAUACUGGAUAGGACCAUGCUGUAGGUGGUGUGGUGGAAAGAUUAGUUUCGGUAAGGGAUGAGCUCGCGGCCUAUCAGCUUGUUGGUGGGGUAAUGGCCUACCAAGGCGUCGACGGGUAGCCGGCCUGAGAGGGUGGACGGCCACAUUGGGACUGAGAUACGGCCCAGACUCCUACGGGAGGCAGCAGAGGGGAAUAUUGCACAAUGGGCGCAAGCCUGAUGCAGCGACGCCGCGUGGGGGAUGACGGCCUUCGGGUUGUAAACUCCUUUCAGCCAUGACGAAGCCCUUGUGGUGACGGUAGUGGUAGAAGAAGCACCGGCUAACUACGUG
rnacentral:rRNA from 1 species